CUCACCAGCUCUCCCUAGGGGAAAAAGAACAUUAUAGAUUCAUUCUUUGCCACAGAUGAGAUCUUUGUUCCAGCUCCCCUGGCAAUCCAAAAGGAGAUUUCUGUCCAGCCUGCACACAGGUCUCCAGAGGCUGCAAGUGACAAACACACUUUUAAGAGUUAGCAGAGUAGACUUCAUUAGGGAAAUCCAAUCGCCCCACAAAAUUGUUAAAUCACAGACUUGCCAUUCAAUGUGGAAUUAUAUUCCUCUUUGUACAUCACAUUUGCACAAAUUCCUGGUUUCUGUCUUUGAGGAUGCACUAAGUGGAUUCUCAGAUGGUGAACACAGGCUGUGUGCUCUCCACCUCCUUCUAGAAGGCUUCUCUUCCUUCCACCUCUGCCCUUUUCUUCAAAGCCUAUGACCAUUUCAGACUGCUGGCCCUCUGUUCUACCUGAUCAAAACUGGCCAGGAAGGACACAAAUUUGCAGAAGAAAGUCUCACAGAAGACAGAUAUUUGCAGCCUAAUGACUAAGCAAAGAAAACACUGCAUUUUGAGGGAAAAUCGUUAUCAUUUUUAAAACCUGUUCUGUAACUUAAGAGAUACAACAAAGUCAACAACAAAAUAAAAAUAACCUUUAAAAAAAAACCCAAAGCCUAAAUAUUUCAGAGCAGCAAAACCCUGCAGUGGGCUUACAGGAGGUCAUGACCUGAGCCAAACCACCACCACCUUGUUACAAUUCCACAGAGGUCUCUCUGCCCUGUGGGGAUGAUUCUGCCCUUUCAGCCCAGGGAAAUCUCAAUCCCUACACACCCAAAAGGGCUCUUUCAUGAACAUGAUCCUCAGCUGUCAAACCCAGCUUGCUCCUGGAGAUAAAUGAACUAAAAGUCUUCUUUAAGUCCACUCUUCUUCACCAAAACCAAUAUCUAACUUGAAUUACUGAGAAGGACAAAGGUGCUGGAGGCCAAGCCCUGCUCUCCCCGCUCUGGGGGGUCUUCCCUGGGAGCCAGGCCAAGCAAGCCCUCAGCAGGCAGAGGAUGCACUCAGUGGAUUCUCAGAUGGUGAACACAGGCUGUGUGCUCUCCACCUCCUUCUAGAAGGCUUCUCUUCCUUCCACCCCUGCCCUUUUCUUCAAAGCCUAUGACCAUUUCAGACUGCUGGCCCUCUGUUCUACCUGAUCAAAACUGGCCAGGAAGGACACAAAUUUGCAGAAGAAAGGCUCACAGAAGACAGAUAUUUGCAGCCCAAUGUCUAAGCAAAGAAAACAUUGCAUUUUGAGGGAAAAUCGUUAUCAUUUUUAAAACCUGUUCUGUAACUUAAGAGAUACAACAAAGUCAACAACAAAAUAAAAAAACCUUUAAAAAAACCCCAAAGCCUAAAUAUUUCAGAGCAGCAAAACCCUGCAGUGGGCUUACAGGAGGUCAUGACCUGAGCCAAACCACCACCACCUUGUUACAAUUCCACAGAGGUCUCUCUGCCCUGUGGGGAUGAUUCUGCCCUUUCAGCCCAGGGAAAUCUCAAUCCCUACACACCCAAAAGGGCUCUUUCAUGAACAUGAUCCUCAGCUGUCAAACCCAGCUUGCUCCUGGAGAUAAAUGAACUAAAAGUCUUCCUUUAAGUCCACUCUUCUUCACCAAAACCAAUAUCUAGCUUGAAUUACUGAGAAGGACAAAGGUGCAGGAGUCCAAGCCCUGCUCUCCCCACUCUGGAGGGUCUUCCCUGGGAGCCAGGCCAAGCAAGCCCCCGGCAGGCAGAGGAGCACGGUGCCACAGGAGAACUUCCCAUCCUCGGGAGUUAAAUCCUCUGUGAAAGAGAAUCCAAACACUGGUUACAUAAAACAAAAUUUAAAGCAAAUUUAAAAUAUAUAUAUAUAUAUUUCCCACACAUGCUUUCCCAACUGCCCUCCUCCUCCUCACCCUCUCCCCUUCUCCCCCUCCCACUGUCAGAGCCGGGAGCAUCGGCACUGAUGCAAUGUUGGCGUAAUUGGAGUAUUCAGGCUGCUAUUUUGUACCUGUCUGUUUAUUUGAGAGACAGCCUCAACCUCCUAAUGAACGCGUCUGAAUAUUUAUCUGCUGCUCCUGAAUGGUGCAUUUGUGUUUCAAAUGCUUAACUGUUAUUUUUAUUUAGCUGCAAAUUGCUGUUUUUAUUUCACUGGCGUACCUGCUUGGAAAUUGCUCUAGCAUGAGGUUCAUGCCGAGCUGUUUUCUAUUUCUGAAUUCUUUUUUAAUUAAUCCUGUGCUGAUAAAAGUGUGAGGACUGGCUCUGCAGUCCCCUUCCAGCUUGUCAUGGAGCUAAUGUGUGAAGAUUGUGGAAUCAGCCUCAGAAGGAACUGGCUCAUGUGGAGGAAUCCCAGCCAACUGGAAUGGAGAAAACAUAGGCAGAACCCUGGGAGAUGGGAAACCCCAGUGACCAGGGGCAGCUCUGUUGUCCUAUGCUACACUUGAAAGUACCUGGACCAAGCAGCAACAUUUCUGAAAAAUCUCUUUUCUUCCUCCUCCUAGAAGGUUUCCUCCCCUCCUCAGUGGCAGAGGCUUGGUCCCCAGGGCAGCACACUGCAGAUGGACAUGGACCAGACUGGUGCCUUGAGCCUUUUCCCCUGGAUAAAAUCCUGCCUUGCACGGGGUGCUGACCUCUCCUUGGAAAACAAAACAAAACAACAACAACAAACCAACCAACCAACCAACCAAACAAAAAAAGGCCUGGGACCAGUUCCCAGCACUGUCACCAACUGGUCAGGGGCAACCACCUCACCACAAGGGCCAAAAAUUCCUCCUCCCUGCCCAUUCCCAACUAACUGUGGGUGCAGCACUUCACACAAACGACUUCAUGAAGCAUCUGGCUGAGAGCACCUGUGGAGCAAGACCUGUCCUUGUGAAUAAAUCCUUCAUGGUGUAUUUGACUGCCCAGGCUCUGGGCUAGCACAAGGUUUGGGCUGUACAGUCAACUUGAACUUCUAAAGUUGUGUCGGAGUGUUUUUUUAGAUAAAAGAACAAAGCAAUAAAAGAAUAAAAAACAGGGAAGGAAAAGGAAGGUGAACACAUUUUUGGAGCAAGGUUAGAAGUGGGUGAGUGGGCAGAACACAAGGAAACCCCAAAUGUCCCUUUUGUGAUGGUACUGCUGAAGAUGGAGAGUGUUGAUUUGAAGUCCUCGGAUCCAAGGCACACUGCCGGAUCCAUGUUGGGUUGUGCAGGAUGGCAGGAAAAUCAGGCAGGGUUUUGCACCCAGCCAUAGCUGCCACGAGAGACCAUGAGCAAACCCAGACCCCCAGAACUGGGUCACAUCUGGGGUUGGGUGGUUGGACCUCACCUCCAACCUGAUUUCAGUGAGAAGGGCUUUGUGCAUCCUCUGCCACUGGAGGGGCUGUGGGCACAAACCCAGUGUCCCUGUGCCAUCUUCUCCGCGCUUUUGGAUCCUAGGGGGCUGCCAGGCUGCUCUGACACUCCACCAGAGAUGAUCUGUGUGUCUGGUGCUGGUUUGCCAGGAGGACCCAUUGCUGGCAUCAUCUGUGACUCCUGGACACACCAUCACCACUGGCUGACGUCUCACAAGUGCUCAGGGGCCAGCUUUCCCUCUCCUUUUAAACAUGUCCCAGCUCUGUGCCUCUUUGCACCUGAUAAGCAUCCUGGUGGGGGCUGUUUGAACAUGUCCAUGUUAGUUUUCUGCUCUGUACCCCUCAAAAGGACCCCAAGGGGCAGGAGGGGAUCUAGGAAGUGCAUUAUUCCAUUCCCUUCUGGUGUGGCCUUGGAAAAGCCAUCUCCAUUUCCUUCCCUGGGUAUGAAAUGGGACACUGUCACCCCCACAGUAAAGGGGAGCUCCCAGCAGAGCAGGGGAGAUUUACUGCAUGGUGGAGUUUGCAGGAAGAUAAAAAUGAAGAGGGGUUCAGGCCUCGCCCCCCAUUUCAGCUGCCAAACUUCUGGGUGCAAAAACAGAGAGGUGUCAGCAUCCCUGAAAGAUCUGGGGGUGUUAAAGACAUACGAGGAGGAAGUAUAGGUUGGAUAUUAGGAAUAAAUUUUUCACUGAAAGAGUAAUAGAGUACUGGAAUGCUCUUCCCAGGGAGGUGGUGGAAUCACCAUCUCUGGAUGUGUUUAAAAAAAGGCUGGACAUGGCACUUGGUGCUGUGGUCUAGUUGAGGUGUCAGGGCAUAGGUUGGACUCGAUGAUCUUAGAGGUCUCUUCCAACCUCAUUAUUCUGUGAUUUGUGAAGAGAAGAAACGUGGCUGUGUCCCCCCCGUGCCGCUCUCCAUGGGGAACAGCAGCAGCGGGGGAGCAACGAGACCACAGAUGGGAGGCAGGAGGGAGCUGCAGUGACUGAAGGGAUGGAGGGGAGGGCAGAGCCCUGCUCCUGCCACGGGUUAUUUAUUUUAAUGGAAGGAAAGGGGGAUAAGCCCUUCGCAGAGGCGUAAGGAGGGGAAAGGUGCAGGAAGGGGAGGGGGAGCGAGCCACAGGCAGGAGCCCAUGGCUGCUGGGAUCGGCGCGGCUCCUCAGUUCGCAAUCACAUCCUCGCUCCACCGCAUUUCCGUCUCGGCGCGUUCUCCAGGCAGAUGCUCCAGCCCCGCUGGCAGAAUCCCCUCGGAACCCCCAAGCCCGAAGGCGAUUCCCGCGCAUGCAGAGGGAUGGCGGGGGUGUCGGAGGGGUCUGGGCUGCGUUCGGGGGUUCCCUCGGCCGGGGCAGGGAGGGGAGCGGGUCCCGGUGCCGCUAGAUGGCAGGCGGCCCCGCUCCGCUGCCGCCGCAUCCCGGCCCCGCCGCGGGGCCCCCGGCUCCCCGGCAUCCCCGCUGCGCUCUGCGAGCAGCGCCCGGGACAGGCUUUCCGUGCCGGCAUCCCUUGGAAAACCGAGGGGCACCCGAGCCAAAGGCUCUUUCGCAAUGCGAGGAGACGGCGGGGACAGUCCUCAGAGGCUCCGACGCCUUCCCGAGACAAAAUCCUGCCUUUCCCUUCCCUCCCGCCUGCGCUUUUGGUUUCCUCCUGUUUUUCUUUCCUUUUUUUUUUAUUUUCCCUAUCCCUCUCCAAAGGGCUGCCCGCUUUUCCCUCAUUUCAAGCAUCAGGGUUGCAAAAUCAGACAGAUGCACCCUCUCUGAAUGCAGGCUGAGCUGCAGCAACGUGCACACAAGGUCCAAGCUGAUUUCCCAGCACUGGGGGAUUUUUAAGCUGGCAGUAAACUAGGCAGGGCCUAAGGCAGUCUCAUAAAUAGCUUCACCUAGCUUUCCUCUACAGGACUGCAUUUUUUCAGCCUUUGAAACAGUGUGGCUGCAUCCAGCCUGCUCCUAGAGCACAGCCCCCAGCUCCUGCCUUCCCCCAAGGAAAAAUGGUGAGGGAAAUACCUGGCCUUCAUCCCAACCCAUGGCACAGAGCAUGCAGAUAACCACGGGAUAAAUCUCUAGGCCCUGUUAUCAUCUCUGGGGGUCAAGCUGGCUGCAGCCACCUCUGCUCCUUUCAGUGUGUCCCUCCUCCUAGGAGCCAUUCCAAGGGUGAUGCUGCUCUGUCCCUGGGCUACCUGCAGGGAAGGAUGUUCUGAGGGUCCAUCUGCAUGUGGAGUUUCUGCGUGCUUUACUGUCAUCACCUCUGUGCUGGAUACGAAGAACUGGAAUAUUUGGAGUGCGUGUGUGGGAGACGCUCUGGAUGUUACCGAAACUCACCCCCUCCUGGGACAGGGCUUUUUUUAGACUGAAAUAGGAAGCACAAACCUCACCCUGAGCUUCCUCUAGGGUUUGGUUCUUCCUAGAGGUUUGUCCUUACUGGAAAUUUCUUUUCUGCACCUCUGGCCCAGAUCCAGCCAAAUGCUAAAGCUCAGGCUUAGCUUCAAACCUGCAUUGCCACAGUGUCUUCUUGGCUGGGUUGGAUUCUCUUGGUCCUCCUCACCUUGGGAAAACUCAUGCCUCUCCAUGCUCCUGCUGUGAGAUGAUGGCAGUGGGAAGCAGGAGUAUCAGCUUGCUUUGCUUGUGCACCAGCCACAAAACUAACCCUGUACGUGUGCAGGAAGAAAGUUACCAAAUCUGUGAGAGCAUGUGAAGAUUUGGAGUCCCCAAGCAUGAGCACCUGCUGCAUCACCCCUGAUGUCCACAGCUCAGCCCAUCCUCAUCCUCUCUGCUCUUCUCACCAGGGGACAGUCAGGGAAUGCUUCAAUUGCCAGUAGUGCCAGUGAAUAUUAGAUACUGGCUGAAAUGGCCAAGGAAAAUCACAGCUGCUGUCACCAACAGGGACUCAAAACCUUGCUUCCAUAUCAAUGACAAGCCACAACACCAGUUCUCCAUGGACUGAGACCACCAAAAAAGUCUGAUCCAUUUGGUCACACCCUUCCAACAGCUUGGACCCUGAUGAUCUCCCAGGUCUGGCUGUGUAAGAGCUCUGAUGAAAAUUCAUUAUGAUUUCUCAACCCUUCCCCUGCCAUGAAUUUAAAUUCCUCAAACCCUAAUGCAAGGAAUUGAAGUGCAUAUUGAUUAAGGGCCUUUUAUGGAUGUCUUGCAGAGCACAUUAAAAAUUAUUUAAAACUUGCAUUCCAGUAUUAAUGACUCUUGUCUCUGGCACUUUGCAGCAAUUCAGUCUUGACUUUUAAUUGAAAAUCUUUAGUUAAGACAAAUUCUUACAGCCAGGGAAGAUGAAGUGCUUCGCCAGGUAUGUGCCAUGGAGGAGCUUUCAACCUCCAGGUUCCCAAGUAGCUGUGAAAUUCUAGAGAGGAGUUUCUGUCCUUCAAGUGGGUGGGUGUGGGUUGUUCUUGGAGGAGCCAGGUCUUUGGGCUUCCUCUCAAGGUGCUACAGAACAGGUCUUUCACUGCUCCAUCGCUCAAAGCAAUGACAUAGCAAAGAUUAAUAACCUCCUUCAAAAGGGCAGUUGCUGCAUCCAUGGGCAGAAAAAUGUGGCACCCCGGGGCUGGUGGUGCUCUCACAUCCCACCUCCAGUGGCACUAGUGAAUAUCCAUGAGCCAAAUGAAUCUGAGCCAAUUACUGCUGCCACCAGGUCAAACACCUCGUGCCUCCUUAGUCAUGUUUCCUUCUGCCUCUGCAGCUGAUCCCAGGGGGCUUCUUCCCAGCCAUGAAGCUCAGGUCUGAAAGGGCACCUUAGCUUGAAAACACUCGCAGAGAGGAUCUGGCAUUUUGCAGAAGGAGCAGUGUGGCAUUCACACUCUCUGAACAGAGAGAGACAUCAUUUUGUCUCUCUGGAUUUUUCCUGGAGAAGCACAGAGAGAAGAAGAGAAAACAAUUCUUAUCUCUACUUGCUGCUCCUGUUGUUUUUGCACAUGUGGAAUGUGUUAGGAAGAUUGUUUACCUGAAGAGAUUUGUCAAUUGGAUUCUGCUGAGGAUUGUUUUGUUUCCUUGGCCAAUUGGGUCAAAGCUGUGUCCUGGCUGUCUCAGACAGUCACGGGUUUUUCUUUACUAUCUUUUGUAUAGUAUCCUUUUAGUGUUCUUUAGUAUAGUAUCUCUUUAAUGUAAUAUAGUAUAAUGUAAUAUAAUAUAAUAUAGUUUAAUAAAGCAAUUGUUCAGCAUUCUGAAUCAUGGUGUCAGAUGUCAAUCAUUCCCUGCAUUGGGGGCACCCUGAAUUCGAUAGAGCAGCAAGAGAUGUCACCUUGGGACUGUCAGCACCUUGGUGGAGACAGCACUUAAUUUAAUGUUUGCUGGCUCGAUGGUGGCUGACAAAGGAGCUGGGAGUCUGUAUUGUGGUCUGGUGUAGGAAACCAGGAUCUUGCAUGUUAUAGAGCCUUGCGUUAUCAGUGUUAUCUUCCUGCUCCAUGCCUGGAGCCUUCAGCAUGACAGGGAAAGGGGCUGUGUCUUUGCAUUCCCUUUGCCUCUAAGGAGAAACAAUCCCUCCAUAAAUGCAUCUCUGAAUGUGCCUCCUCUGAAAGGAAAUCAAUAUUUUCCAUCCAGUCUCUGAUGGGACAGGAUGUUGAAAGCCAUCAGUGCCUUCACUCCCUUGCAUGGGCCUGGAGCCAGGGGAACUCCAAGACCACAGGGGUUUCCAGGUCACAUCAACACAGGAUAGGAGAGUCCUCCUGUGCAUCAGAGGGGACCUCUGACAGCAAGGAAUCAGUACUGGCCACGACCUGCUGUGAUUCUGGUUUAAAAACCCUUCCUCCAUCUGCUCAUUGCACGCUAAACGAUUGUUUGAUUUUUUUUAUGACUGCAUGUAAAACAUGAACCAGCUGGGACCCCAAGUGCUUCUCUCCACCAUGAGUGGCUUUCCUGUAAGCCUCAUCAAAGCCACCCGUCACCAGACACUACCCCAGGGACUGAGCUGUCCAUUCAGCCCAUCACAUGUGCAGUACAGCUGCUCUUCUUAUGCAUGGGGGAGUUGGAACUGGAUGAUCUUUAUGGUCCCUCUCAACCCAAACAACCCUGUGACUCUGUGAUUUACAUCCUGAGAGAAGUCACCACCACCAGUGCCAUUCAGGUGGUGAAUAACCAUUACCCCAAGGAAGGAUAUAAAAAGGAAAUAUUUUGCCAAAUGCAUUUUUUUUUUUCUUAAAUAUUCAUUCUGUUCCUUCUCUGGUUUUAGUUUUUUGAUGCCAUCCUUGUUCCAUCUUCUCCUGAAGAGAUAGAAAUAGGCAGAGUUUUACUUUCACAUCCAAAGAAGGUCCAUGCCUCCUUUCCUCCCAGGUGGGGAAAGUGCUGCUCCAUAACUAACUGUGCCAUUGUGGUGUUUCACAGGGUAAUGGAGUCCACUCAUGUUUCCAAGGAUUUUUUAUUGUUCUUGUUGCUGGCUCUUCCUUGUGAAUCACAAUUAUUGUCUUGAUUCUCUGGGUCAAGUGCUUGGCUGGAAACCAUGGGGUUUAUCAGACUGCAAGCAAACCAAAUCAUUGCCCCUGUGAUGUCCAGAAGGUAAAAAUCACGAGCUAAACCAUCAAAACCUGAGUUGAGGCAUCCUCCAGGCCCAAUGUCCACAUAUUUGCCUAAUUUUUUUUUCAGAUUUUUAACCAACAGUAAGAGCUAUAAACUCCAAGUGUAGGCAGGAGUGCAUCACGUGUGCCUUGACUCUCUUAAGGAGUGUUUGGUGCUGUAGUUGGGUGUACAAAGAGGACCUUGCCAAAGACCAACCCAGACUUUCCAAAUUGUGGUGUUUUGUGCACAUGGAGAGAACUGAAUGCAGCCCUCCUGAAAGAGUCCAUCAAACAACCAACACAACCUUCUCCCCAGACUCCAGUGGCCACAGAAGGCAUUACCAGAGGACUUUCAGCAGGCAGUGAGUUAUGAUUAAAAUGGUGGUUAUUUAUAACAAAUGGAGCAUUCAGAUGGAAAAGUCCAGUUAACUCUCCUAAUUGUGCCCCAGGUUGGCUGUGUGCUCAGGAACACCUUCCCUUGCUGUUGUACCACAGCACUGCACAUCAUCUUCUAAAAUCAUGAUGAAGUGACUUUGAUUUUGCUUUGAGGCACGGGUUUUGUUGUUCAAGGAGAAAGAAAGACCCUGGCCUCUUCCCAUACUGCUUUCAUUUUUUGGUUGUUUGGUUUUUUGUUUUGGUUUUUGGCUUUUUAAUUUGAAUGGAAGACUGGAGUUGCUUUUCUAGACAUAAAAUGAGGAUGAUGGUGGAAAGCUUUGCAGAGAUGGUACAUUUUAUGUCCAAGCAGUCACAGAUCUGAAAAACCCAAGCCAAGAUGCUUCUUUCCUUAUCUCUCAAGUGCUCAGGAGCAGAGGUGUUAGCUGGGAUGGAAAUGACCUGCAGGUGAAGAACCACUUGGAGGAUGCCACAGCUAAAGCUGAAGAAAACCCACACAACACCAUGUGAUGUUUUCACCCUGGGGAUUCAGAGGGUUUUUUUCAAAGUCUGAUGUGUUUCCUGAGUGGAGCAUUGCCUGGAGUGCAUUGCUGUAAUAUUAAGCUUCUUCAAAACUGAGACCUACACGCAGAAGGAUUUCACCUUCUCAAUGAACCCUGUAAAAAUACUCAACCCAGACACUCCUCACCACUUAGGGCAACUCAGAAGACAGAAGUGAAGUGUUGUAACUUGAACUCAUCUCUAAUUAUCUGGAAUUUGUUCACACUAAAUCAAACAAAGUGAAAAGUCCUACAAGCAUAGUCUAUAAUUCAUGACUCUGUUGAUUUCUCUCCUAGGCUACAGUGACAUCAGUAAAUAACAAAAGACUUUAUCCUGUCAAAAAAAUCAAGGGGGAGAUUUCUGAGGAACUGGGCAAUGCUCUCCAAGGGACAUGAAAACUGCAGCAGCCUGCCAUCACCCUGUGAGAAAAAUAGAGUGAAAGCAUAUGAGAUUUAACUAAUUAAAAAUGUGGGUUUGAUGCAGAUUUGUGUUUUUAUACUGUAGCAUCUGGAGUUUCCAACGAGUGUGACCACAUCCUCCUUGGAUUCAGCCAGACUUUAAGAGUGAACCACAAAGGAAGAAAAGAAAUUACUUAUUUAGGGACAAAGAAAGGCUUUUGUUUUCUGUUAUUUUACACAAUGCCAUUCUGACAGAACCCUGCUUAUUCUGGGACCUGUGUUAUGGAAGCAGAUCCUCCUUGUCCCAAAGGACAUAUCCCAGUCCUCCAUCUUUAGGACAUAUUCCAUUCCCCUGCCUUUAAGAAAAGGUAAUAAUAUUUUCCUAAUACAAUAAUGUUGUGAUUUUAUACUUCUACAGCAUCUGAAUAAUGUGGCAGAACAAGGAGACCAGACCUCACCUGUUUUUUUUUCUCUUCAAGCUAGUGACAGACCAUAUCAGAGCAUCCUUGAUUUUCCAUCUCUCAGCCUCCAGCAGCACCUGUCAGCAGCCCAUCUGUUGGAGAGAAAACCCAUUUGGCUCUGCUCUGUAGUUAUUUAGGGAGAGAAACGACAAAUGCUUGCGUCAUUCAGGAGCUGAGUCCUGGGGGAAACCAUCAGGUUUUGAUUAUUAACACACACCAAACAUGAGCAUUGCCUGGUGGGAUAGGGAUGUGUUCCCAUGCUCCCAAGGCCGUGUUUUUUCCCCACUUGCCACAUUCCAAGUUCAGCAGUGCCCUGUAGGGACAGGGGCCCUCAGAAGUGGCCUUUCCCCUCGAGACAGGGGUGGAGAUGAACACCAAGUCUUUGUGCUGGGCCAGACGGUCAAGAGGAAGCAUCACCAGCAGGAUCAGCAGCUUUUUUCCUAGAGGAGGAUGAAUCAAAGCCAGCGAGCUCCUGGCUGCUGCCCUGGUGUCCAGUCCAGGAAAAGAGAGUUGGUGGUGACUGGGUUGGGCCACGAAUGUGGGAAGAUCUCUGAAGGAGAGAGAGCCUUAAAAGCAGGAAAGUGAAGCUCAGAGGAUGUGCUGAACUCACUUUAGACUGGGUGGGGCAGAAAACCAAAACAUGAAUCAGCUCCCAAGCACUGGAAAGAGGCUGGUCUUGGCCAUUUGGACUUGGCUGCCACUGACUCUUCUCAUGGCCAGUCUGUCCAGCACAAGCUGGACAGGAUGUGUCUGGCAAAAGGCCUGCUGAAGAGGAUGAAAUCACCGUGCUGAGGCUGCCUGAAACUUCCUACACCCCCUUCUGGAGCAGGAGCACCACUGAUGAUUUCUCAGAUAUCUUCCCAUCUCCCAGCUAUCACCCUCCUGGGAAGGGUAGGGCAGCUGAAGUGUGUGCUGGGUUAGUAAAGGAAGAUGGACCAUUGUACUGAUUGUUGCUUUUUCUCUGAAGGACAAGACCAUAAAGGGCUGGAGCAAUGAAUCACAGCUCAGGAGAACCAAAGCCACCAUGGACUGCUGUGGCUGUCUCCAGCGUGGAUGUGUCAGGAAGCAGGACAACCUCUUGAUCAUGGGAUGGGGAGACACCAGAUGGAGAUGGACUAGUGGAGAGGUGGCCUGGAGGGUCAGAGAGCUGAAUCCAUGAAAACCAGGAAGCUCUGCCUGGCUCCCAGUGGGAACCUGGAGAACAUCAAGGAACAAGAUCUUCCUGCAAGUCCUGUCCUAUUUCUCCACAGGGGCUGACCUGGGCCCUUUGCUCAGACCUACCAGCUCUGCCUCAUUUUUCUUUGUGUAGGUGAGUUGAGGUGCUGAGGAGUGCAAUAUGUAGGAUGUUCUUCCAGUGAGUUUCAUAGGAAGGAGCACAAGCCAGGGCAGUCCUGCCUUGAUUAUGAGCAGAGAGCUUUGUUAUGGAUGUAGGUCACAAAGAGUGGGGAAAUACGGCCAUAGGUCAGGAAAGGUUGGGUGAGUAUCCAGCAGAAAAGGGCAAACUCAAGACAGUUUGCAUGGAGUGUCACAGUUAUUUUUAGAUUUGGAGCACAGAGAGCAGAAAGACGGGUAAAGAACUUAGGGAAGAUGAGCCUGGGCCAGCUGUAGGACAUCCCAGCAGAGAAGUUACAAGAGCAGCAGAGAGAUCAUAUGCAUUCCAGGCAGGUGAAAAAUGUAAUGAAAGCCAAGAUCUUUAUUUUGUGUCAUUUGAAGUCUUCUGGAUCAGCCAAGGUGGGCCUGCAACCCCUUCUCCAGGUCUUACCUGGCCCUGGUUCAGUGUCCAAGGCUGUUGCUAAAAGCUGCAUGAAGCCCCAUUUUCCUUCCUUUUUCAAUCCUAGGAAAUGAACUGAAAUCUCCACCCCAGAUGAUAAAAAAGAAAAUCUUAUCAAAGCACAACUUUAUGAAGGGCAAGGCAGACAAAGAGAGUGGAAAGAAAAAGAAGAUAAUGUCCUAAAUCAUUAAACAAGCCUCAUGUUCCCACACCAUCACUCCUCCCUCCUUAUUUUUAUGAGGCAGCAACCAGCCCCCUGCUGUCAACACAUCACCUCUGUGUUUGGUGGAGGAACAGGGGAGGGCUCUGGGUCUGAAGGUCCCUCUGGAGCUCUCUGCUAGUCCCUUCUGUCCCUGCUGGUCACCUCUCUCAUUUCCUCAAGACACUCCCUGGUGCCUCCACAGCACCACAAGUCUAGAGAGGACCUAAAAUCAGCAUUUUCAUUUUCAUGCUACGAAAGGGAGAAUUUCCCAAACAGACUUUUGGGACUGUGGUAGAGUGACCAAAGAAGUCUGGGAGCGACACAACAAAACAGCAGAUGCCAGAGAAUAAGAGAUGAGGACUUGAAAUUGUCCUGUUACGUCUCACAGGCACACAAAAAGGACACUGAGGUGCUCAGCAGAAAACUCCCAGUGGGACAGGAGCCAUCAGCAGUUACUGGAGGUUUCACCUGCCUCCCCCAGGUGAGGACCAGGCAGCACUGGAGACAUGGAAUGAUGUGGAGCUGGUGCUGCCAGCUCCCUGCGGCUCAUCCGUGCAGUGCACCCCUCCACAUUUCCUAGUAUUUGUUCUCCUGUUCUGGGAAGAGUCGAGAGCUGCAAGAGGCCCAGCUCACAGGGAUGUUUAGAGAAAGGAAAGACCAUUGUGUGAAAGACUUUGGUAUUUCAGGGUUUGUUUUCCUUCUGACGCAGAACAAAACACCACCAUGUCAAAACCCUCUGCAGGGCAAAACAGAACAACAACAACAACAAACUACCAAAAAAAAAACCAAACCAAACAAACCAAAAAUUUUCAAGCAGUGGCAUUUUGGACAUAGUCUAUGGAAGUGUUUUGGGAUUUUCAAUCUCAAGAUCUACUGUUGUAGCUA